AUGGCCAACUCUUCUUCGUCCUCAUCCAGUGGCGGCAAGCAGCCGUCGCACUCCGCGUCGGCCAUUGUCGGGCGAGCCCCCGUCUCCGGCUCUCACGACCUCAAGAUAGAUGGCCACUCCGCCAUCAAGGGGAUCGGCCACGGCAACUACAUCACGUCUGAGCAGUUCGUCAUCGGAGGCCGUCGCUGGCGUCUCCAGUACUACCCCGACGGCUACUCCGGCUACCACGAAUGGAUAGCCAUCUACCUCUGCCUCGACCCUGCCGACCUCAACGCAAUAAGCGUGCAGGCCCAGAUCAGUUUGCUGGACCAGGAUGGGAACCCCGUGCCAGCCUACACCAAAGCCGGCAACUCAUGGACCUUCUCCAGGCAAAGUGGACUGUGUGCCAUUACCAUGGCAAAGGUAAUCUUCACGGAACCCAUCCCGGAGUCCGUGUCAGUGCCUUUGUCAUCGCCUGACAUGCAGCGUCAAUUUGGCCAGCUCCUCUCCACCGGUGACGGGGCCGAUGUCACGUUCGAGGUCGGGGGCGAGACGUUUCCGGCGCACAGGAGCGUGCUCGCGGCUCGCUCUUCAGUCUUCAACGCGGAGCUCCUCGGUCCUAUGAAGGAGAGGACGGACGCUAGCAUUCGGCUGGACGGCAUAGAAGCUAAAGUUUUCAAGGCCAUGCUCCACUUCGUCUACACCGACUCAUUGCCGCAUAUAGACGCGGGAGAGGUGAUGCCGAUGGCUCAGCAUUUGCUCGUGGUGGCAGACAGGUAUAAUCUGGCGAAGCUGAAGUCGAAGUGUGAGGACACGCUGCGCGGACACUUCAACACCAGCACGGUGGCAACUAUAUUGGUGCUGGCCGAGCAGCAUUGUUGUGGGGCGCUCAAGGAUGCAUGCUUCGAGUUCGUCGCGCCUUUGGGCAAAUUCAAAGCACUCACGGCUAGUGAUGGCUUUGAGCAUCUGAUGGGGAGCUGCCCCCAUCUUCUCAAGGAGCUGGUUGCCAAUCUGGCCACCUAG
rnacentral:rRNA from 1 species